rnacentral:miRNA from 1 species
UUGGCCAAAAAGUUUGUUAGGGUUUUUCCAUAAGAUGUUAUGGAAAACCUGAACAUUUUUUGGCCAA